rnacentral:lncRNA from 1 species
AUUAUUGAAAUCAAUACAAAACGAAAAAAAUACCGGAUUUUGGUUGAAAAAAGGGGGGCCUGUCCACAAGAACUUAUGCGCAGAAUAAAGGUGGUGAGAAGAGAACGUGGUAUAAUCGUAGCAGGAUCGUUGUAUAGAAGCGGAAUGAGGACGUUGUAGCAGAAAAAAAACAUGAAAAUAACGAAUUUUCCGUGACAUUUUAUGCCACUUAUACCACGACCUCAACACGAUUUGAAUUUAUUUUAGAUCGCCGUGAGCGUUGUGCGAUCGUGGUCUAGUGUGCCGAGGGUAUUCUCAAUAUCCGCCCGACAUUUAUUUAAAAAAAGGGAACUAACAGCUAGGAAAUUUAAGAGUAACUCAAAACGAUUUUAAGGUGGUAUGGGUGUCUUCCUCCAUCUUGGAUCGUAAAAAAACAGAGAACCAAAGGUCCAGACUUUCUAUUAAGUCAGCAAAAUUUGAUGCAGGAAUGCAGAUAUUUAAUGUGAAUUUUCAUUUUAUGUCCGUUAUGUAAUGAACAAAUAAAACGGACUUGUAGUAUGCCGAGAAAUGGUAGGGGUUGAAAAGAAUUAGAAAACAAAUAUCAGAAUAAAAAGCCAAUAACUUUGCCUGAUCAUGAUUUAGAAGAUCAUAUAAAAAAAGAAGAUGUGGUAUGAUUGCUAAUGAGAUAACUCUCCACAUGAGACCAACAUGACACAGAAAUUAACAACUAUAGGUAACCAUACGGCCUUCAUUAAUGAUCAAAGCCCAUACCGCAUACAUGUAGUCAGCUAUAAAAAGCCGUAAAUAUGCAUGAUACUAAAGAAAACCAACAUACCAAUAAUUUUUUUUUCCUGACGCGAUUUUCAAUUGGUGUGUAUCCGUUUUAUAAUCAAUUAUCGUUCUGUUAUCCUUCUGUUCAUGUCCGUCUCGCAUCCGUUUUAUGCUUUAUAUGUCCGGUAAAGAUCGUUAGUGAACCUGUCUACCGGACCUCCAACGGAUGUUUAACGGACGAGUAACAGAUACAAAACGAACACAGAACGGACGAGUAUUGUAAACAAAAAACAGACGCCUACUGGACACUUCAUCCGUUGAACGUCCGUUCAAAGGUUUUUAACAUGCUAAAAUUUUUCCACCAGACCAACCGGACGUCGACUGAUAAAGUUGAUACUGAACGGAAUGAAACAGAUAUGUACGGUCGUCUAUAACGGAUAACAACACUUGUUUCACGGAACGAACGAAUUGAAAAAAAGUUAUCCGUGCGGCGUCCGUUCGCGCUAUCUGGUAAGGUGUGACCGGAGAUUUAAGCACAUGUUACACCUUUUUUUUUUUUUUUUUUUUUUUAACGAUAACAAAUUUUGUAUUGCAUGUUACACCUUAACGGAUAGCGCAAACGGAUUAUACUUUUUACAAUCCGUUCAUGUCCGUAAGACGUCCGUUAAUUUCCGUUUCAUGUCCGUUCAACAUCCGUGAUAUCCAUCAAUGUCCCUUCUGUCCGGUGGACAAUUUUUUAUAUGUCAAAAUGCACUGUUUUUAUGUUAUUUAUAUGUUUUUAUAUUCGGUCAAAAGCUCCUUAGAGCUUGUGUUGCUUAUUUGUAUCUAUGCCGAAUCAAAAUAAAGUUUUCUUAUCUUAUCUUAUCUUAUCUUGGAGAAUUUCGAGAAUGUUCAAUACUAUGAAUUAACGGACAUUCAACUGAUGAAGUGUCCGUUGUACAUCCGGUAGUCGUCCGUUUUUUUUACGGAUGUGCAUGCGUUCUUAAAGAGUGACAAAUCUUAGCUGCGGGAUAAUACCUUGUAUACUAUAAAUAUAUAUAUAAAUAGAGUAUGAUUGCCAAUGAGACAACUCUUCACAAGAGACCAAAAUGACACAGAGAUUAACAACUAUAGGUCAACGUACGGCCUUCAACAAUGAGCAAAGCCCAUACUGCAUAGUCAGCUAUAAAAGGCCCCGAAAUGACAAUAGUAACGAGAAAACUAACGACCUUAUUUAUAUAAAAAAAAUGAACGAAAAACAAAUAUGUAACACAAAAACAAACGACAACCACUGAAUUACAGGCUCUUAACUUGGUACAGACACAUACAUACAUAAUAUUGCGGGGUUAAACAUUUUAGCGGGAUUCCAACCCUCCCCUAACAUUGGACAGUAGAAUAACAGUACAACAUAGGAACGAACUAUAAAAAUCAGUUGGAAAAUGCUUAAUUCAUCAGAUGGACAAAAAUACAAGUGGACGUAUAUAUCAAUUUCAUUUUCAAAAGCACACACGGCGUGUCAAUCUAGUACACUGUAAAUCUAAGUGUUAAUAAAUAGAACACUGCUUGAACGCUUUUUUGUAACACUUUUUGAACGUGUAAUGGUGUUCCAAAUGUUUACACUAGUGUUCAUCAAUUGAAUGUGUGGUGUUCAGUUUUUAAUGCCUUUGUGUUUCAUUUUUGAACACUUGAUGUUAGAGACCUUAACAUUAGUGUUCAACGAUUUAACGUGUCCGAAUGUUCAAAAUCUUAAUACGUCGACGCGUUCAACAGCCAUGUAACACUUUUUGAACACACAGAACAUGUUUAAAAACCAAAAUGUUAAGAUUCAGAACACCAGACGUUUACAUUCAGAACAGUUGACAUAGGUGUUCAAAUUGAUGGUGUUCAAAUGUGGAACAUGUUCUAUUGUUAAGCGUACAUAAUUUUCCAUAAGUACUAAACUUAAUUAAACUGUUAUAAAAACUAUAUUGAAUCAGGCAAAAUACAACAAUAAAACAUAUUUUAACAAGUAAUUCUUUAUAUAAUCAAAUGAGC